UUGCAUGUAUUUGAUCUACAAUUUCCACAGUUAUCCACUCUCUUCGCGGUGAGGAAUACGGUCCCGAGGAUUAGGUCCGGUUCC